UACGGGGGGGGCAAGCGUUGUUCGGAAUUACUGGGCGUAAAGGGCUCGUAGGUGGCCAACUAAGUCGGACGUGAAAUCCCUCAGCUUAACUGGGGAACUGCGUCCGAUACUGGAUGGCUUGAGUUUGGGAGAGGGAUGCGGAAUUCCAGGUGUAGCGGUGAAAUGCGUAGAUAUCUGGAGGAACACCGGUGGCGAAGGCGGCAUCCUGGACCGAUACUGACGCUGAGGAGCGAAAGCCAGGGGAGCAAACGGG
rnacentral:rRNA from 1 species